AUGCAAGUCGACGGCAGCACGAGAUAAGCUUGCUUAUCUUGGUGGCGAGUGGCGAACGGGUGAGUAACGUAUCGGAACGUGCCCAGUAGCGGGGGAUAACUACGCGAAAGCGUGGCUAAUACCGCAUACGCCCUACGGGGGAAAGGGGGGGAUUCUUCGGAACCUCUCACUAUUGGAGCGGCCGAUAUCAGAUUAGCUAGUUGGUGGGGUAAUGGCCUACCAAGGCCGCGAUCUGUAGCUGGUUUGAGAGGACGACCAGCCACACUGGGACUGAGACACGGCCCAGACUCCUACGGGAGGCAGCAGUGGGGAAUUUUGGACAAUGGGGGCAACCCUGAUCCAGCCAUCCCAGCGUGUGCGAUGAAGGCCUUCGGGUUGUAAAGCACUUUUGGCAGGGAAGAAAAGGCGCGGGCUAAUAUCCUGCGCCGCUGACGGUACCUGCAGAAUAAGCACCGGGCUAACUACGUGCCAGCAGCCGGC
rnacentral:rRNA from 2 species